UUUUUUUCUUUCUUAAUAAGUUUAAGAGAGUGAAAAAAGAGAUGCUGGUGAAGGAAUGACUGUUAUUGCUGCUGUAAUGAGUCAAAUCCAAUCCCAGAAGUGCCUUAGAGAUGUUAAGGAAAGCUGUAGUUAUGGACCUCACAUAAAGGGUGGACUUUUCCUUUACAGCCAGCAAUACUGGAACAUCCACAUCUGACAUGUACACUCCUGUCAACUUGUGAAUGUGUCUGAAUGCUCUUAGCACAGCCAUGGUUGGAAUAAGUAGGUAUAAAAGCAGAAUCUGCAUGUUCUUUGGAACCCUUGUAACUGGUAUAUUACAAGUGCUUAAAUGUUGGGCAAAGGAAAAAAGAACUUUGACAUUUUACAUACUCAUAAAUGAAUGUUUUUAUGCUAGGCUUUUACAUUAUCUGUUGUUAAUGCUGUGUUUACAGUGUGGCCAGUAUGAGGUCACAUGGCUUAUCUUGGCUAGGAGGCUGAGAGCAGUAGGGAGGCAGCAGUUUUGGACCGGUCACAUUCAGUCAUCAUCCAGAGUGGCUUUAGGAACAGCAUGCAAUUGACCAGGCGUGCUGUCUCUCUGAUUCCUCACUGACUCGCCCCAUAGUUGUACACUGGUACCUCACUGUUUAAAAGGAUGGUGUGAAUUUUAUUGAACAUGAAACAACAUGGGCAUCUCUCCAUGUGCCCAGCUGGAGCCAAAAAUCAGAGAAUAAAUGCAUGGGGAAUGAAAAUCUCCAUGGGGCCCAGGGGAUGAUGUGCUUGAAUAACAAAUAAAAGAAAGAAAAAGAGAGAUUAAGGAAGAGCCAGCAUGCUCACCUAAAAACUUUUUCUUUACAAUGUUACAGGUGUUGUGUGCGCAUUGCAUAGUAGCCGAGAGGCCUCUGCCAUUCUCCUGACUGGGCAAGAUGGCGUAAUGGGAAUUGCCAGCUGCAGUGGUAAUUACAGCACCGCCAAGGAGGACCGCGGCUGUUUUUCUUCUGGGAGGCAUGCAGCUGAACUGAUUUUUCAUUUACAUGCUUUAAGUGAGAUGAAGUAGCUCUACAAAUGGGUUUGAGCCGUACAUUAGUGAGAGUGGAUACGUGCUAUUUUUCAAGUGUUGCUCUUUGCCACCACUGAAUUGUUUUAACAUGCCUUCUUGCUCUCAUUGUAUUAAAGUCAUUAAGCUUCAAGGCAUGCUCAGUGAGCCGAUACAAAUGACUCUUACCUUUGGCCAUACAAGAGUCAUUUCCCCGUCGAUUAAUCAAAACAGCUUCCAUGACUAGUGAGAAAUGCUUGCGGUAUGUAAAUAUUCAUGUAGUGCUAGAGUAUGACAUUUAUUUUGUAAAUGCUUAAAGACUGGGUGAUCUCUCUCAGUUUUAGUCCAUUUUACUGUCAUCCUGAUAGAUAGCGGAAAUUCCACUGUCAGGUGGAUGAAAGGUCUACAACCUAGAAGGAAGUUUUUUUUUUUUUUUCACUGACUGAACCUACAGAAAUGUGCUCUCUGUGAACUAGUGAAAUGAGAAAGUCAGUUGGCUAUGACUUCUGAAACCUUCCACUAAUGACAUUAGGGCUAUGAACACUUUAGCUCCAGUGCUGCCAAAUUGGAAGAAGGAGAGAAGUGGAGCGUUUGAAUGUAAGCAGAUGGCACUAUUUUACUCUGCACCAGGCCAUCUGGAGUUUGCUUAAACUGAUGACUUCAUAAUCAAACACCGGUCCUCUUGCCAAACAUGGCACCCGCCACACACACACACACACACACACACACACACACACACACUUCAGUUUGUGAAGCCAGAAAUGUAUUUUGUUGGGAUUUCAUUGCAGCAACAGCACACCACCAAAACAUGACCUAUGCCCACACAGUGCUCUUGUAAUAAAAUGAAAUCAUCAGAAUUAUAUUUAUAAGAUUGACAUUGCAAGGCUUCUGGACAAUAGAAGUGAACAGUGUUAAGUGAAGCAAAUGAAGUUUAGCUGGUUCUGUCAGUCUCUAACAGUUUAAGAGCGCUACACAAGUAUCUUGAGACUUGUGAUGUGAAGCAUUGCACGUUGCUCUUGGAACCAGAAGUGCACUCAUGUAAUAAAAAUGACUGUUAUUGUUUGUACUAGGUUUCGCUGUUUUCCAUAUUUUCUGCACUUGCUGACUUGUUUUUGCAUGGACCAGACCUCCACACCUCCUGGCUAGCCUCUAUCCCACUGGCUACACAUGGUCUCUUGUGGUGAUUAAGGGCUUUGUUUUGAUUUAUGAUAUGUCUUAUUUCUGAGUAGUUAGCUGCCUACAAUGUCAUCAGACUCUUAUGGAUUUGGAGCAUCAUAGUGGGAGUAGACAUGCUUAGAAAAGUUUAGCAGGUCUAAUGGACUACACAUUUUUCUGGCCCAUUGCCAACAUAAUUAGUAUUAUGCAAUAGUAUGUUACAUACAGAGAGUAGUUUUGUCCCAUAUAAAAAGUAAUGACUACUAAACCACAAAACCAAACUAAAUUACUGUAUAUGGUUUUAUUGUGGGUCUAAUCCCAUAAAUGAUUUGACAUUUGUUGACAUUUGUCAGUGAAUAUGCUGUAAAUUAAAAGGUUUUCAGAAUAAUAUAUUCUAUUUCUGUGUGACAACCAGAAUUUUUUCCCAUGCAUUUUUAAGCAUAUCUGCUCACUGUUCCUUGCAGACAACCUGUGGGAUGAUGGAGUCACAUAUCACAGAAGACUAUGGA